UAAGUCCACCUGUUGUCUCUGUCUCUUGUCGGAUCGUUGUUGCAUGUCCGUUGUUGUUGUGUGUCGGCUCUCCAGUUGAACUGUUAAGUCCUGGUCUGCUUAGCUCUCGUUUUCAGUCUGUCGUCAGUUGCUACCGGUAUUUAGCUGUGUGCUAACUCUCUGCCGUGCCGCCUGUAUCGGACUGUGUGUGCUUCUACAUUAAAUUCAUCAUUUUCAUCUACAUCCUGCGUCUCUCCUCACCACCACUAACCCAUUUAUGACACUGCUGCUUUAAUUCCAAGACAAGUCUGAGAAGUCAAUUAACCACACAACCAUGGUGGUUGUUCCUCAGCUGGCCUCUCCUGGACUUGAUGUCCAGUAAAAGAAAAGUUGUGAGACCUGUUCAUUGUUGAGGAUUUUGAGCCAAGAGACUCGCCUUGAGCUCUUUGGACACAGGGAUGUUGCUUUUGUUUGCAGAAGGGAGGGAGAGACUUUCAACCCUAAUAAUGCAGUUCCCACUUUGGAGGGACACCAAAGGACUUUGGAGUGGCCCUCACAGAGCCCCGAUCUUAAUCCCAUUGAGAAUCCUUGGCAGGUUCUUAAGGUCAGCGUUCGUUUUCGAAGAUCACGCAACCAAGAUGAGCUGCAACAAGUUGCCAUGGAAUGUGCAACCUCAACAUCACCCCGGUCAGAUUCCACCGAAAUGUCAGUUCAAGAGCACACGCCGUUACUGUUGGAUGCCGACAAGACGGAGAUGGGAAAGAGAGAAAGAGGGGAGAGCUGAAGCACUCAUGGUUAGGACAAAGAAGACAACCAU